UUUUUUCUGAGGUGUGGCUCGCACCUGUCCAACUAAACUUGAGCUACCUUUUUCAACACGGUUGCAUCGGUUGGGCUGUCAAAUAGCGCGCAAGCGUUGUGCGACGGCUUAACACCUUAACAAAACACUUUUGAUGAUCUAGGAUUUGAAGGAAGUUCAUUUUUACGAUGGAACCGACUGGUAAUGCGGUCGUCUAAAUCUAAAAAACAACUUUUGGCAACGGAUCUCUUGGUUCUCCCAUCGAUGAAGAACGCAGCGAAUUGCGAUAAGUAAUGUGAAUUGCAGAAGUGAAUCAUCGAAUCUUUGAACGCACCUUGCGCUCCCUGCAGAUCUAAUCUGGGGAGCAUGCCUGUUUGAGGGCCGCGAAUUGUUUCGAACGACAGCUUUUUUCUUGUAGAAGAGCUGGCGGAUCGGUAGUGAGGGUUUUGCCAUUUCACCGUGGCUCCCUCGAAAUGCAUUAGUGCAUCCAUUUGAUAGGCAAGGCGGACGAAAGCUCGAACUUUCGCCCUCUCUUCCCUGCCGGGUUUUGAUAAUAUCAGGACUUCGGAGGCGAAGGGUUGGCAUAGAGCUGGACAUGCUGCGUUGCUGGUUGGAGUGCUUCUGAACCCCGCCCAUGACCUCGAGAGAGGGAAGGGAUUUUUUUCAAUUCAUCGGCCUC
rnacentral:rRNA from 1 species